AUAUAUUGCUUAGCGUUACUUGUUAAUGUAUGCUGUUGGUAUAUAUCAUGCUUAAUUAGUUUAGUGUAUCAAGGGAAAAUGGCAUCCCUGUUAGGACUCAAAUAUUGUUUGCGUCCAAUCCGAAACAACAACUUGUCCCGCAGUCAGAGGGCUGUUCUGUCUACCUCCCCUCAUUUUGCUGAAGUGUCACAAGAACAUGGCGUCUCAUUUAACGGAGAGUAAGAUCAUGUUGGAUUUCUGAUAUGUUUGCAGUCAAGCUCCUAUUGUAGGUGUCAAAUGAUGACCUUCGAGGAGAUGUCAAUUCAUGACCUUGGAACAGGUGUUAAUUCAUGACCUUGAAGGGGGUGUCCCUUUAUGACCUUGUGUACCUUUGUGACCGCAGACCUUCAUAAACAUUAAUACCUUUAAACAGGUGUUCAUCAAUACAGGUAUGUUUGUUAUUAUUUCAGGAAAGGAGUUGUUCAUGACCUGAAAUAGGUGUUUGUUCAUGACUUUUAUAUAUGUGUUAAAUGUGACUUCUGAAACUAUUUAGUUGUGACUUUUUGACGGUUGUUAAUUGAUCAACUCAGGACAGGUGUCUUUAAUGAUUUGAGAUAGGUGUCGAUUGACACAUAUAGUGAAUAGUUUAUUUCAUUUCUUUUAUAAGAUAUAUUAUUGAUACAUUGAUGAAACAUUUCCAUGUGUGCUUGUAUGUACCAACUCUAACUAUUCUAUGAAGAGUUUUAACUGUGUUGAUUGUUCCUCAGGAGACUGAUUUUAAAGUUUGACAAUGAAGUGUUCAUUUUUAAGCACA